UGCUUCAAAUUUUUUGUCAAGUCCCAUAAUGGCUUCAAAAAUAGUUUUAUUGGAGAUAUCAUCUUCCUUCUCUGAAGAUUUUGUUCUUUUCUCCUCUGGCGGUUGUUUUGAUGGAGUUGGCGGCGCCGAGUCUGCUCCCCGUUCUCGCUUGUUUAAGCCCACGUUGGCAGCUUCAGUGCUAGCAUAGCCAUGGUCACUGACUUUAGCAUGCGACGACGUCUUAACAUUGGGGUUUGACGGCACAAAUUGCAGCUUUGCAUUCUUAAUAACCUUUUAGACAAAUUGCAUCAAUAUGAUUGUAUUUGGUCCCCCUUUACAAGCUGGCUUUCUGUAACUUGAAGAACAGAGGAGUAAUGACAGAGUGGUGGUGUGGGAAUUGGUGUGCGAAGAAAGAAUAGGAUAACUUCCCUUUGUUUUGUUUUUUGUUGUUGUGUUUUGUUUUUGUUUGUUUGUUUUUAAACUAUUUAUUUAUGUAGUUAUCCUUAAGCUCUGUUAUUGAAGUUUAAAAUGAAAUAAAUAAAAAUUGUUGAUGAUAAAAAAAAGUUUAAACUUCAAAGCUCAUGCAUGCAUGCACAUCCAGUGCUCAGUGUCUAAUUGUGUGUUUGUGUUUUUACCUUUUUGCAGUAGCGCAGUGAAACAUUUGGGCGGUGGAUAAAUAAUGGAAAAUAAAAUUCAGACUACAGACGGCUUCAGGUGAGUACACGUGGUGCACAAGGACCAAAGCUCACCUUCUCAACCUGGACAAAAUGAAUUAUUUUACACUGAUACUGUAAACUUUUGUUUGUGUGUCAGGUUUCCAUACAUCGGAAGCAGCUGCUGCAUCUGUAAUUCUGUCCGUCCCGAGGAGAGUCCACACUCUACAUCCUUGGCUCACCUAUAAUGACGCACAGGUGCUGCACACAACUGGAUCUGCAGCUUGUGAGGAACAGCAGCACUCAGCCUACAUCCUGUUUUACAAGAUUAACACACCCUUCAGUUUCAUCAUGUCAUCCCUAACAAUACAAUGUAGAGUUGGAUGGAGGAUGAAGACAGCAGAGAGCAAAAGAAACAGUUGAACUUUUGCAAAGCUGAGGAGAUUUUGGCUGCGAUCACAUCAAGUCCAAAGAUGUUUAAACUUCUUUUUCACAGAAAGAAAUCACACAAACAAAACGUGGCAGAGAAGGAAAUUCCUUCUACGUCUCAUCAGAGCAUCCCGGAUGCUUGUGUUGCUGAAAAUGGUCAAAAGAAGAAGAGAAAAUGGA
ensembl:lncRNA